CUGUGGCUGAACAAGAGUAAAGAUAGCGGCUUUAGCAAGAAACUAAAUUCCCUUCCAGAAAUUAGGCGCACAACACGCGGACACCAGCCUGCCCCGAAUCGCCAUCAUUCUGCCUGGGCUGCAAGCCUGGUUUGGUGGCAUAUGGCCCUGAGAGACCCAAGGCUGCUGCUUACUCCCAGCCAGGCAAGCUUUGGAAACCCAUGCUUGUAGCCAGGCAAGCUUCGCCGAGAGGCUCAGAGGGAACCAGCUGGGCUCAGGAUAGAAAUCCUUCACCAGACAAGCAACCGUCGUCCCAUUUCGCAUGAUGAAAACGGAUGGUGUGGCAGGAGGCUGGCUUUCUGCAAAUAUAAUCAAUUUAUCUUGAAAGAUGAUUAUCCACAAGUGUGGGAGUUAAACGGUGGGGUUUACUUCAAUUCCUUUGGGGCCAAAUACUGCAAUACAGACUUUCCUGCAUCCUUUAGUGACCUGGGCUUGUUAACACCCAAUGAAAGAGGUGGCUAAGGGAAGCGGAAAUGAAAGGCAGUCAGUCUGACUUCUAGUUAGGAGCUGCUAAAAGACAUGGCUGGAAGUGGAGAUGGAAAAUAACAACUACAAACAAGUUUAUGGAUCAUCUGAGAUUCAAUUAUCUAUAUUUUGUUAAUCAGUCCUCUGGAUGAUUGCAGUCAGGUUGAAUAUCUGUCUGCAUCGUUGGUUUAUUUUAAACGCAUAAGCCCUUAGAAUGAGAACAGGGUUGGUGCUCAGUUAAAGAAUCAGGGUCUGAGAAGGACUACAUGACUGGUUCAAAUACCCUGAGGAUGGCAGUUUUGGAGUCACUUUAGGGUGUCUUUCUCAUUUUUCGGACUGGAAGGGAUAACCACUGAAGUUAAGUGGUACAUCUCUCUGCCUUUAGGUAAAUACUUAUUUUGUUGUAAGGGACUAUCCUAUAGUUUUUGAGUCUUUUAUCAGAGAUAACAGCUAUUAUUCCCAGGAAGUCCUUAUAGAUAUUAAUUUUUUU